rnacentral:tRNA from 1 species
GCCCUGGUGGCACAACGGUUAAGCACUUGGUUUCUAACCAAAAGGUUGGUGGUUCAAACCCACCGAGCA